rnacentral:rRNA from 1 species
GAUGAACGCUGGCGGCGUGCCUAAUACAUGCAAGUCGAGCGAACAGAUGAGGAGCUUGCUCCUCUGACGUUAGCGGCGGACGGGUGAGUAACACGUGGAUAACCUACCUAUAAGACUGGGAUAACUUCGGGAAACCGGAGCUAAUCCCGGAUAAUAUAUUGAACCGCAUGGUUCAAUAGUGAAAGACGGUUUUGCUGUCACUUAUAGAUGGAUCCGCGCCGCAUUAGCUAGUUGGUAAGGUCACGGCUUACCAAGGCAACGAUGCGUAGCCGACCUGAGAGGGUGAUCGGCCACACUGGAACUGAGACACGGUCCAGACUCCUACGGGAGGCAGCAGUAGGGAAUCUUCCGCAAUGGGCGAAAGCCUGACGGAGCAACGCCGCGUGAGUGAUGAAGGUCUUCGGAUCGUAAAACUCUGUUAUUAGGGAAGAACAAAUGUGUAAGUAACUAUGCACGUCUUGACGGUACCUAAUCAGAAAGCCACGGCUAACUACGUG